ensembl:scaRNA
GGUCUGUGAUGAAUAGUAAAAGGUCUGAUUAUCCCGAGACUUGCAUUUCCAUGACCCUGGCUCCCAGCAGUCUCUCCCCAGUCACGGCACAGUUAAGAUGUGAUUGGCAGAGUGCUUGCUGACAGCUUGUGAUGUGUUCAGUUCAUGUUAACCUGAAGUAUUGGAGACAUGACUGUAGUCCACAUCCAACAGUCCUACCUGAAGGAGUUUGGGGUCUUGGUCUGUUAUAUCUGGACAUGUGAUCUGACUUUUCUGCUGAGACC